AACACCUCAAAUCUCUUUUUUUUAUUAAAAAGAGAAUUGGACUUGAGCAAUCCCAACUUUUUCUUUUAGAGAAAGGCGGGUUGCUUGAAAUGCAGGUGCAGCUGGACAUUCUUCUGAGCUAAAAGCAUAUUUAUUUAGUCCCGUCAAAUGGAUUAUUACUUUUGCUCUAGCUAAUAUAAAGGUCGAAUGUACUAUAUGCUGACUGAUGCAGGAUUACCAAGUUUUUUUUAAAAACUUGUAA
rnacentral:misc_RNA from 1 species